CGGCUCCACCAGCGGCUCGGCUAGGUCGGCUCGGCUGUGCGGCUUGGCGGCGCGGCUCAGUGGCUCGACAUCCGAAUAGCAUACCGGUUUCUAGGUUUUUGACCCUUCUGGAGCCAUUCCCACCCUUGUUUCAGCCAUCUGAGGAGGUAGUUAGGCGCUGGAGUUAGCAUUGUGGGUGACUUCGGCCAAGGCCAAGGAGGUAAGUAACCUUACUGUUGGCGUUAGUUUUGUAUGUAUGUUGGUGCGUGCCCUGUGGCCCUUGCAUGCACCAUAUGUUGUUGCUGUAUGCUAGGUUAGAUGUUUCUUGCCGUGAAAUGCUAUGCAUGCUUUGUUUAUGUAUGUGAUUCUUGCAGUGAAUUGCUAUGUAUGCCAUGUUUAUGAA